UGACCUUGGAGAUGGAACUGGGAUGACUGUCGAUGAUGGUAGCCCUAACAGCUCAGUGGUUGAAGCUCCUUGCCGUGAGUCUUCUUUUCUUGAUUCAGUAGCUGAGUCCGAGUCUGAGGAGGGCAGUAUCAGUGAUCCACAUCCCGCAGAUUCUGAAGAGGAUGAAGGGUCCUUGCAGAGUCACCCUUCACGUCCCUCUAGGAAUAGGCAACCACCAAAGCGAUACACUUAUGAUGUGUUGGGUCAACCUACUUGUAGAGCAGUACAGGCUAACGCACAGAGUAGUUGGAUUCCGGAGUUCUGUAGAUCAUUUCUCUCUACAGACAGACAUGUUAUCGGGACGAUACAACAUGUUUAGAAAGGGGGGAGUGUAGCCACUUGCUUUCCAGGAGUCGCGAGAAAUGAAAUAGCGCCCUCAAGCGUUCGCUAAAAACGCGCCUGUUUUCUUGCCAUUGUUCACGAAGUUUGUUUGUCGAUAAAAGUUUUGUUCGACAAAUUUAUCCAGAAUCAUCUUGCUGUAAAGUCGCUUUUUGAGCGAAUCAUCAACCUAUUGUGUGCCUCAAGAAUCCGUUAUUUCUGCUCAGCAUACUGUUGGCUCUCAGUUCUCAGGUUCUCAGAUACAAGUGAGAACUUCUUAGUCUCUCUUUGAGAUAACUGAAGGGACGACCUCACCUGAUUGCCGUUUGCCAGAUCUGAAUUUCACCUGAUAAAGAAAACUACUACAGUAGGCCAGUGGUCAUCAGAGGUGCUCCGUUAAACUACUGGAGUGAGCCUACUCAAGGAGACCAACGACUUCGUCUGCCUUGCAGUACCGGGCCAGUUUACUGACUUCGUUGGAGUCACCGGUUCAGUCAAGUCGGUUGUCUGGACGUCACUAUUUUGGAACUGAAAGCUCCAAGAGUAACAUUGACUUUCUUGCCGGCCGGCCGGCCAUCUACUGUGCACAUCAUUGGGCCCCAUUUUUUUGUGUAUUACAUGUACUUGAGCAUCGUUGAUCCAUAUCCUUUUAAUUAAACAUUGAUUGUAUUUUGAUUGAAUUGUUUGGCCAAACGAAAUUGUUGUUACACAAUAAAAGCUGAUUGGAAAUUAAUUUAUUGUUAUUCUCCUGUGUCCUUCCCUAAACGGUUACAGUU